UGACUGGCAAUGUUUUGCUGUUUGUCCCUAGUUGCCCCUUGAGAAGGUUGGAGGUGAGCUGCCUUCUUGAAUCACUGCAGUCCACAUGAAGUGAGUUGACCCACAAUACCCUUAGGGAGGGAAUUCCAGGAUGUUGACCCAGCAACAGUGAAGGAACGGCAAUAUAUUUCCAAAUCAAAAUGAUUUUGAAUUAAUGAAAGCGUGAGUUUAUUAAUUGCUGAAUGCGAGAAGGGAAAAGAAGACCUAACAUGCAGAUAAGGAAUAAGAAGUGAGCUUGAAGAAGAUGAAAAAACAUAAGAUGGAUCAGACUCUCUAAAUUCAAAAAGAAAACAGUGGAACAUUGAGAGCUGAACAGUUAAUUUCAGGAUUCUUGGAUUUUGCAGCCCUGAACAAAUAGAAUCAUUUGCCUGUUGACGGGUAUCGGAUUACAUGGAGAAUUUCAGAUCCACAAAGCAACAAAUACUACAGUGUUCCAUUGUCUCAGUAUGCUUCCAACAGUCAAGAAGGAGUGAGCACUUCCAGAGUGAGACACAACCCCAGAUGACAAAUUAUUUGGGGAAUUUGGAGGAAAUGUGAGAAUUCAGUGCAGAGGGGAAGAGCAAUGCCAAACAAGUAUUCAGAAGAGACUUUUAUUUACAUACGCCUGCAGCCAGGAAAGGAAAAUUUACACAUUAAGCCAUCAUGCCUUCUAUCCCACUCCUCACUGGGAAAUCACACUUAAAGUGCAGCUAGGAACUGAGUCACAUUUGGAUCCUAAGUGUGAAUGGAACUCACACUAGAUGGGGAAGGUAUCUUCGGGGCAGAGGGGGAGGAAUGAAAA